rnacentral:rRNA from 1 species
UAAUACGUAGGUGGCAAGCGUUGUCCGGAUUUAUUGGGCGUAAAGCGCGCGCAGGCGGACUGAUUAGUCCGGGGUGAAAUCUCACGGCUCAACCGUGAGCGGUCCCCGGAUACUGUCAGUCUUGAGGGGUCUAGAGGAGAGCGGAAUUCCCGGUGUAGUGGUGGAAUGCGUAGAUAUCGGGAAGAACACCAGUGGCGAAAGCGGCUCUCUGGGGAUCAACUGACGCUGAGGCGCGAAAGCGUGGGGAGCGAACCGG